ACUCAUAUAAUGUGGGUUCUUGAGCGACGCCAUUUGUUGGAACGAUGGGCGUAGUUAAGGAGGAGAAAUCAUAGACAGAGGUUGCCGAGGUGGAAUUAAUACUUGAAUGAUGACUUGCACUCGACUUGGAGGUGGAAGAGGAGGAGGAAGAGUGAGAGCGGGCUUGAGCAAAAGCGAGGAUCGUAAAUAAAAAAGCUGUAGUGAAAUUAAACUUGAACAGCAACAUUAUAAGGUAAAGUAAAAUCGGAUAAAUGAGGUUAUAAUUAUAAGAGAAAUUUCCAAAGUAGCAACAAAAAAAACACAAAAUAAAACAAAAACAAAAAAAUGGUU